AAAGAAGUGUAUUGUAGGGAAAAAAAUGUUUUCCUUUCAUUGCUGUCAUGUCUUGGCAAUCUGUGGGGAAAACAGUGUGUCCUGGUUGAAAAUAAACCAAGAGUCUGUUGAUGAAAUCCAGAGGAGUCAAGGGCUGUGGUUAACCCCUUAACUAGUAACUCUUGGUUCUUGUAUGGAUCCACGGAUCGAUCGCCUUGACAGUCCUGUCCACUGCCACCUCCUCGCUUGCGCGAGGUACCCACCAGGGGGCAGUAUCUCCCUGAGCAAUGAGGGAGUGGUGGUCUUGGGCCCCAGCGCUGGCCAGUGGUGCCAGCAGUUGGCCCUCCUUGGCCAUUCCUGACCACACCUCACAGGAGGGCAUCUUCUUGGUGUCUGGCAAAGGCCCCAGAAAAGUGGCAGUUGAUCUAGACGUUGAUGGUUCCAGCCAGACCCCAGUUAGAAGUAGGUGGAAAAUGUUCUGUGAUUUCAGGAGGCUGGGGACCCUCCCCUGCUCCCACCCAGGGAAGUGCGGCUGGAUUCCCAAAGCAGAACCUGAUGCCACUGAGCCUUCGUCCAUUGUUAGGAUAAAAAAACGAAAGGGCAGACCCUCGUGCAGAAUGGGACGACGAUGAGAUUUCAACAAGUAACCAAUGUAACUGCUCUGCUGCGUUGACACAUCAGGCCGUUGACAGUAAAGGAAGGAGACCUAGAAUAUAUCUCAGUGGUGAAAAUGAAAUUCAGGGCGUUUUCAGAAAAGUGCCUAGGGCUGGGAGUUCUAUGCUGGGAAAAGAGAUUUCUGUUUUCUGUCCUUUCCAUAAAGCAUGGUUUAGACCUAUUUGGCAGAACAAUUGAGCAAUGUUCUAUUACCAAACAAAAUCCAAUGUGAAUCUGUAAACAGACUUUGGCUAUUUAUAAAACUUUGUGAGUGAAGGGAAAGAGUUUGACUCUGGGAAAAAAUAAUGUGCGUUCAGUGAGGAUGUAAGUGAUCUUUAUGACUUGUUCACUGUCUAAGAGGAAGAAAUGUUCAAACGAGAUCUCCUCAGUAGCAAUAGUUUCUUGGCAUACAGAGAAUUAGGAGACCACAAACGGGAAAUAUAUCCUAGAAAAAUUGGGCUAAUGACCAAGAAACAUUUGCCUCCUCGCCUGCCCACUAUCCUACCACAUUGCUGUUUGGCCUGCAAGGUUAUAUGCUAGAGUGGAAGGGAAAUAUGCACCUGUAGUUUUUAUUACUCAUCUCCGUUUCUCUGGCAGUGUUCAUUUUGAGGUUUGCUGUUAAGAAAUUCAAACCUAUAAUUAUGUCUUAAAUGUUUGUCUCUGGGAACUGCAGACUUUAAAAGUGGAGGCUGCUACUCACUCAGCUGCCCCAGGCCUGCAUGCCAUGGCCUUGCGCCCACAGCAGACCCCGACGACGGGCCGGAGAGGCGCAGAUGGCGCUGUGUGCCCCACACCGAUGUGGAAUAAAGCCAACUGGGGCAUUUGUAGCUUGGGAAAAAUUUGUUUUUAAUUAAAAAAAAAAAAAAGGUGACACCUGUGUGGCAUGGGCUUUGGACCUGUUAGGUAUGUGGCAGAAAGCUGCAGUAUCUACCACAUAUGUUGUGAUUAUCUGUUAACUCUUCUGCAUCUUCUACUGGACCAAGAGCUUCUUGAGACUGAGGCUGGGAAAAAUGUUGAAAGGGCUAAAUUGUUUAUUUUAUGUGCAUAUGAUCUUAAAAAGGAACUGCUCUAUUUUUGAUCAGAACUUAGAUGAACUAUAAAAAUAGAACUGUUUCUUAUCCCUGACUUCUCCUGAGGGCAAAAUCCUCAAAAUAAAAAAAUUGUCUAGGGGGAGCAGAUGUGGCUCAAGCGGUUGAAUGCCUGCUUCCCAAAUGGGAGGUCCUGGGUGCAGUUUCUGGUGCCUCCUGAAAACAAAAACAAACCACAAUCAAACAAAGGGAGAAACCAACUCAGGGGAGCACAUGUGGCUCAGUGAUUGACCGCUGGUUUCCCCAUACAAGGUCCCUGGUUAAGUCUCUGGCCCCAGUGCCUCAAAACAAAACAAAACAAAACAACACUGCCUAGGAACAAAGAUCAAAUCCAGCAUGCUCCCAGAAAACAUGGCCAUGUUCAUGAAGUAGCUAUAGGGGUGUGGCUAGGAGACCCUGUGACAGACACAACGAUCCCUUGGAUCACCCCUCCCUAGAGUGUGGGAUGGACUUGGAGACUUGCUGGUGAAGAGAGCAUGGCACAAGUGAAGAGUUUCACUUUGAGAUCAGGUUACUAAAAGACUGUGGUCUAAAUGCCCUCUCUUACUUGCUCAGUUGAUGGAAGCUGCUGCCCCGGCCUGAGCUGCCCUAUGGAGAAGUCCACAGGGUAGAGGCUCUAGUCGAGAGCCAGCAAGAGACCAAGCCUGUAGUCCAACAACCCACAAGGAACUGCAUCCUACCAACAGCCCUGUGAGUAAUCUUGGAAGCAGAUCCUCCCUAAAUGCAGCCUUCGGGUGAGACCACAGCCCUGGCCCACACCUUGGCUGAAACCUUGAGAGACCCUGAGGCAUGCUCCCAAGCCAUUAAGUUUUGAGGCAACUUGUUAUACAGCAAUAAAAAAGUUGAUAUCUCAGAAAGAUUUAAGGUGGUGUCUCGUUACCCUGUUAGCUAGGCAGUAAAGUUUUUAAGAAGGUAAAGGAUAUUCUCCCACAACAGUCUCAUGUUGGCCCAAAGUAGAGAAAGGCUUUUCUUAGAAUAUGGAUAUGGCUUUUGUCUCAUGGAGAUUAUUAUAAUUUGCAACAUAAGAAACCCAUGACUUUUAAAGGAUUUCUACCAGGUUGGAUUGAAAAAGACAGAAACUGUUCCUAAUGCAAAGAGGCUUCUGGGCCUUCAACUUUACAGGCAGGAAGUAGCCAAGGAAACGAUUCACCUAUGAUUAUGGCCCAUUUCCAAUAGGAAAUAUGACUCAGGAGAUGGAGCAAAAACCACCAAGAAUCAUCCCCAAAGAGCAGAAGUGGGCCUCAUGAAGAAACUGAUAGCUGACUAGUAGGAUUUCAGAAUUGCUAUGGACCAAUUUCUGCAUGUCCCGCCCAUUCUCUCCUUUUUGAGUGGGAGUUGCCUAUUACAGGUUUUCUAUCCCUGCCUUACCAUUAGAUGUUUGGUAUGUAGGGAACAGAUCAUUUGUUUCUUUAGCUCAAUGAUCUAAAGAUCAAGAGGGAUCAUGACUGAGGAGCCGUAUACUCAAGGGAGGAUCCCAAGGAACCACAUCUGCACCUGGAUCUGACUUAAAUGGUGAUCCUAGAUCAUCGACAAACUUUCUGUAAUGAGCCAGGUAGUAAAUAUUUUAGGCUAUAUGGGCUGCAUGGUCUGUUGCAUAUUCUUCUUUGUUUUUGUUUUUUCUUAGUCCUUUAAAAAAUGUAAAAACCAUUCUUAACUCAGGAACUGUACAAAAUAGGCCACAGGCUGGAUUUGGCCUUUAAGCCAUGGUUUGCUGACCCCUGUCCUAGACUAGGAGCUGGUGUGUAACUGGAUGAAAUAUUCUGGGGUUUCAAAGGAGGAGAUAAGUAUAUUUUUCACAUGGGAGGCACAUGAAUUGUUGUGACCUCAGGGUGGGUGGUGGUAGCUUGGGUCCCCUCGCCUUGAAUCUGAGCUGGGCCUGCCACUGCCUUGACCAAUAAAAUGUGGAGGAAGGGACAUUUUUGGAUUUCUGAGGUCAGGCCUUGAAAGAAUCCUGUCAGCUUCUGCUUUCUCCUCCUUGGAACCCAGCUUCCUUGCGAUGAGAAGGUUCAUGCAUUCCCUUGGAGAGGCCCAUAUGGAGUUUCAAGCCCCAGCACUCUCCAGCAACUUCUUCGGAGCUUCCUGCCAACAGCCAGAACCAACAACCAGUGUGUGCUUGCGCCAUCUUGGCUGUACGUCCUCCGUGGUGAGCCAUCCCAGCUGACACCACGUGGAGCAGAGACAAGCUGUCUUCUCAGAACUCUGCCUAAAUUACAAAUACACAUGUGAGAAAAU
rnacentral:lncRNA from 1 species